rnacentral:rRNA from 1 species
CCUUUGUACACACCGCCCGUCGCUACUACCGAUUGAAUGGCUCAGUGAGGCUUUCGGACUGGCCUAAGGAUGGUGGCAACACCAACCUAGGGCCGGAAAGUUAUCCAAACUUGGUCAUUUAGAGG